AGAUGCUUGGUGUGAGAAAGGUGUUAGUAAACAACUUGCAUCCUAUUGGUUGCACGCCUUUGCAUACUAGUUCGAACAACUACACCACGUGUGACCUUCUCGGCAAUUAUGGUGCAUCCGUGCACAACAAGUAUCUAAAACAAAUGCUCGAAGAAAGGGACAACGUUCACAUACUGGACCUCUACACCGCUUUCACUAACAUCAUCAAUCAUGCCCCUGGUAAAGUCACAUAUCCGCGUGUAUGUUGUAAGCCAAAUCUGAUUUCCAAUGUAUGAACUUGAUUAUGUAACUAUGCAAAAUUGUUUUUGUGCAUGCAUGCAGGUGGAGGGUCGGCUGAGUCCAAGAAUUUCAAGGGCAAACUGACCCCGUGCUGCGAGAGUGCCUAUAAGGGAGGGUACUGUGGAGAGCGUAGCCAUUCAGGGAAGCGCUUGUACGACCUAUGUGAAACUCCUGACAAGAUGUUCUACUGGGACCAGACACACCCAACACAUGCUGGGUGGGAAGCUGUAAUGAAGGCGCUGCAACAGCCUUUGAUGGAGUUUCUUGAUGAGGACUACGUUGCAUGAUUGGCCUAAAAAAACUACGUUGCAUGAUGCAGCAGCUUGAUGGCUAGCCAGUUGCUGGUGCAAUAUCUUUUAGGUUAUCUUUAUAAAUAGCAUGCGUGUUUAGGAAGAAGGUUGUGAGUUUUUUCUCCUUGUGUUUUGAUGGAGUUUUAGUCAGUACAGUACUCUUUAUUAUGUAUGAAACAUGAACGGGUAUUAAUUUGCUUAUUGUUUUAUCCCCUAUAUAUUAGUUGAGAUUGAAAAGUUGGUCCUAUAUGUGGGUCAAUAUCUAGUAGCAAAUGAGAACGUGCUUGGGCUUAGUGAGAUAUAGCGUGCAUGCAUAUGCAUGGGUUUGAGCUCAUGACAGGGUCAGUAAGAUUAUACUCUAAUCGGUACGCAUGCUCGUUCAUCUGCCCAUGGCGUCGUGCAUGUUGGGGUUGCUAUUAUAUGGCACGGUGCACGGGUUAACCGAGGCCAUGUCCGUCGAGGCGAAGCCAUCCGGCACUGCUCAAUGAACCAGAAAAUAAGGCUGAUGCGAGGUGUGUGACUGACCAUUGGAGUAGACCAUGCGCAGAUAGUUUGCUAGUUAGGAGGGGGUCCCCUAGAAGAUUGUGGUUUCAAAGACUGUGUGGUAACCCUGCGCGUGCUGCACACACAACCCGAUUCUGAGCUGCGAGCCGAGGAGGAGGCCGCGAUGCACGACCCUUCCAAAUGACUUCACCAUGCGCCCGCUAGAUUGAGCUAUUUAGUCUGCAAGUGCAGUAACGUUGCUCUUGUAUACAUCUUGUGACCCCGUUUUUAUUAUAUCUGACUUAAUUUUUUGUUUGUCCGAAAAAUAUGGUGACGUCCUUCCUGAACUGAUUGGUAUGAAGCCCUUCAACCCCACAUUGAUCGCUUUCUUGCAAGAAUCAAAACUCAAAAAAAAAUUGACAACCAAAAGGCUAAGUAGUUCCUCCCUCAUAAAUAAACCCGGCAACAGGCCAGUUCCUAUGGCGGAAUUCUCUGGCGCUAUAUGUUCCAAGCACUUAAUCCGGUUCCUGUUGUCCACCACUUUCCAAACCCAUCUUUCCUAAUGUUUUUGUCUCCACCGUAGCCUCCCUUUAACCAAUCUUCCUCUCAAAAAGCUAUGAUAAAGGGUGCUUUCCUCCUUCACUUGACAUCGCCCCUCUUAAUGUGUAUAUAUCCCUGGCUUGUCCUUGUGCAUUUCAACGUGAUGAGAGACCCAUUGCACAAAGAUUACUCAUCCUUCCGGGAAGCUGCAGCUAAUAAAUUAAAUAGUGCUAUUAAUUUGCAAGCAAAGCGACCCCUCCUAAACCGAAGGUAUACCUGGUCAAGCAACAGAGAUUACCCGAAUUGAAAAUAAUUGAUAGGGUCUUUUUUAACUAAGCCAUGGAAAAUAUAUUCCUACCCUUUCCUGCCUUACUCGAUUUUUCUUUGAGCCCAUCCAUUGGUAAUUUCAGUGGCCACCAACAUUCUGUGUGCCAAAACCUCUAGGUUCGAAAAUGCCUAGGGCGUAAACCUGGCAUGGCAUAUGAAGUUAUCCACUUGCCAUGGAGUCAAGAUCAUCACAAUUUAAAUUAGGCAUAUAUAGCUUCAUUACUGCCCUCAAAUGCACUCAAUACAUGCUAAAACAUUGGCGUGAAAACUUUCUUGGCCAUUCUGAAACACAGUCUAAAAUUGGCAUAUCUAUCAUAAACUCCACCGUAAAAUCCACUAUUCUAUAAUGCAUCUGGAAAGCUAACUUAUUUAAGCCGUUGUCGUUCCCCACCAUCAUGCAAUCAAACAGAAAGUUAAGCACUGGAGGAAACAGGGAAAAGGUCGUGCCACAAUUGAUUGUUGAAGUUUUAUGGGCUCUAGGCACAUAUAACAAACAAAUCAUGGAAAAUCUCAAAGCCCCGGUACUGUUUACAGGACUUAAAAAUUGCGCUAUUAUAGGUAAUACACAAGGUAUGUACCUUAAGUUGGUAUUUCAAAAUUUAGACGAUACAUGUAGUUCGAAUUAUAAUAUACUCUUUUCGGGCUGAAAAUAUACAGAAUUGGUUAAAAAUUAUUUUUGUCUGAAUUUAAAGACCUUAUUUGAGAUACAUGUAGUUCAGAUUUCAAUUAUAUCCAAUAAAGAGUUGAGCAGUCAUUUAAUACCUAAAUAGGAUCAAAUGAUUUAAAAUAUCAUAAAUUUUACAUUAAUAGUAUAAUUUAGUACUCCCUCCGUCUCGGUUUACAGGGCGUGCACGUAGUUCUAGGUCAUCGAUUUGACUAGCUAAUUAUGAGUUAUAUGUCACCAAAAGUAUAUCAUUGGAUUCUUAAGCGGAUGUAGUUUCCAAACAUAUAUUUUCAUCAAAUAUAAUACAAUUUAGUUAGCUAAAUUGUCGACCUAGAAUGACGCGCAUGCCUUAUAAACCGAGACGGAGGAAGUAUGUUGCAGGUAGAAUUUUUGGAGUAAUAUAGAUUAAAACUGAAUGUACUACACAAGGUACUUUGUAUUUAAAAAUACAAUAUGGAACAGAAAUUUUAUAUUAUUGAAUGCUAAUGUUAAAGGAAGUUCUUCCCUACUACCUCCGUCCUGGUUUAUUGGUCCCCUCGUAUUUUGCUUCAAAUUUUGACAUCAAAUUUAACUACCAAAAUGUUAAUGCAUGUCAUCAAAAAUAAUAUCAUUAGAAACUAUGUUCAAAUAGGAAUCCAACGAUAAAAUUUUUGGUGACAUGCAUUAACAUUUUGUUAAUUAAAUCCCUAGUCAAAAUUUGGCACAAAAUAAGAAGGGGCCAAUAAAGCAGGACGGAGGUAGUAAAUUCUAAGUGAAGAUGAUGAAGAAAAUGCUUUGUCGAGUACAAACUUUGUAGUGCAUGUUAAAUGAUGUGAUGAAUUUCUAGAGAUGCAUCAGUUAUAAAGCAUGGUUGUAAUUUAAAGACUUGAUAGGUGGCUGCAAUGAGGCAUGGUGGCACAAAACACAAACGAUGGAGAUAACAAGGUCACACAACGCCCCCGCGUCGCUCCCAAGAGUGACUCAAACGGAACCCUAGGGUCGCCGCCACCUCCCGUCUUCUCCCUCCUCCUGACCAUCGUUGACUCACGCCACUGGGCCAAGCCCGUUGGUGGCCAAUGGCGGUGGGAUUCCUCUCGCUGGCUUGCUGCAGGUCGGGGGCGCGACGCUCCGAUGGCAGCGGGGAUCCAGCUAGUGUUAGUUGCUGGUGGCGGCCACCUCCCAAGGCCGGGCCGGCAAAAUCCGAGGCCAUGUGACAAACUCUAAAACAGGCCCUACCACACAAAAAAUCCGAGGACCUUAUGUUCAGAAUUUCCCCUCUAACUGCCUAGGUCAGCAUUAUUAUCACGUGCACUCUCUUGAUCAAGUGACUGCUUAUCGGACACUACUAGGGAAAUGCUUAUAGGUAGGGCAUCAGUAGUAGCGCUGGUCUAGGGCAGCGCUACAAGUAAUGCUUUAGCAGUAGUGCUGUAAAAGGGAAAAAGCACUACUACUAAGUGGGACCCAACGAGCCCACCGAUGCUAGCUGUAGUAGUAGCGCUGUCCAAAAUACAGUGCUACUACUAAGGUUUUAGCUAGGGCUGGAAAAAAAGCUCGAAGCUCGCGAGCUAAACGAGCAGCUCGUAACUCGGCUCGAAUUGACUCGAACUCGAAGAAUAACGAGUCGAGCUGAGCUUUGGUUUAAGAUCGUUUAUAGACCGAGUUAAAUGAGUGAACGGAUCGAUAUAGUUGACUAGAGGGGGGUGAAUAGGCAACUAACAAUUUUUAGCUUUUCUUUACCAAUUUAAACUUUGCAUCAAAGUAGGUUGUCUAGAUAUGCAACUAGGUGAGCAACCUAUAUGAUGCAACAACAACAAACGCACGAGCAAGAAAGGGAUACAACACAAUAUAAGCGUGCACAAGUAAAGGUAAGAGAUAACCAAGAGUGGAGCCGGUGGAGACAAGGAUGUGUUACCGAAGUUCCUCCCUUUUGAGGGGAAGUACAUCUCCGUUAGAGCGGUGUGGAGGCACAAUGCUCCCCAAGAAGCCACUAGGGCCACCGUAUUUUCCUCACGCCCUCACACAAUGCGAGAUGCCGUGAUUCCACUAUUGGUGCCCUUGAAGGCGGCGACCGGACCUUUACAAACAAGGUUGGGGCAAUCUCCACAACUUAAUUGGAGGCUCCCAACAACACCACAAAGCUUCACCACAAUGGACUAUGGCUCCGCGGUGUCCUCAACCGUCUAGGGUGCUCAAACACCCAAGAGUAACAAGAUCCGCUAGGGAUAAGUGGGGGAAAUCAAAUUUCUCUUGGUGAAAGUGUAGAUCGGGGCCUUCUCAACCAAUCCCGAGCAAAUCAACAAGUUUGAUUGGCUAGGGAGAGAGAUCGGGCGAAAAUGGAGCUUGGAGCAACAAUGGAGCUUUUGGGGGAAGAGGUGGGUCAACUUUGGGGAAGAAGACCCCCUUUUAUAGUGGGGGGAGCAAUCCAACCGUUACCCCCCACUUCAGCCCCGCAGAGAGCGGUACUACCGCUUGGCCAGCGGUACUACCGCUCUUCCUCGCGGUACUGCCGCUGGGCCGAGAGCGGUCCUACCGCGCUGGUCAGGGCGGUACUACCGCACACGAGCGGUACUNNNNNNNNNNNNNNNNNNNNNNNNNNNNNNNNNNNNNNNNNNNNNNNNNNNNNNNNNNNNNNNNNNNNNNNNNNNNNNNNNNNNNNNNNNNNNNNNNNNNACGUGUGACCUUCUCGGCAAUUAUGGUGCAUCCGUGCACAACAAGUAUCUAAAACAAAUGCUCGAAGAAAGGGACAACGUUCACAUACUGGACCUCUACACCGCUUUCACUAACAUCAUCAAUCAUGCCCCUGGU
rnacentral:lncRNA from 1 species